AAAAACAAAAAAAUAAAGGUUUAAUACCUAUUUUGGUCCCUCUUUUCGGGGUCUUUGUUCAAAGUGGUCCUCCCUUUUUUAAAAAGUUCACUAAAGUCCUACUUUUUGCAAAAACUGUGCAAGUUAGUCCUUUUUGCUAACGGCGUUAAUUCUGCUAACGGCAAAACUGCCAGCUGGCAAAUAUUUGAUGACUUGUACAAAUAAAAUUCGUUGUAGUCCUCAUAUUGGUUUAAAAAUGUUUAUUGUGGUCCUCGUGUUGGUUUAAAAAUGUUUAUUGUGGUCCCCCUN
rnacentral:lncRNA from 1 species